rnacentral:rRNA from 1 species
GAUGAACGCUGGCGGCGUGCUUAACACAUGCAAGUCGAACGAGAACGGGUUAUAGCUUGCUAUAAUUGUCAGGUAAGUGGCGCACGGGUGAGUAAUGUAUAGGUAAUAUGCCUUUUACUAAGGAAUAACAAAUGGAAACGUUUGCUAAUACCUUAUACUCCUUAUUAACCUAAGUUAAUAAGGGAAAGAUUUAUUGGUAAGAGAUUAGCCUGUAUUGUAUCAGUUAGUUGGUGGGGUAAUGGCUUACCAAGACUAUGACACAUAACUGGUUUGAGAGGAUGAUCAGUCACACUGGAACUGAGACACGGUCCAGACUCCUACGGGAGGCAGCAGUGGGGAAUAUUGCACAAUGGACGGAAGUCUGAUGCAGCAACGCCGCGUGGAGGAUGACACAUUUCGGUGCGUAAACUCCUUUUAUAUGAGAAGAUAAUGACGGUAUUAUAUGAAUAAGCACCGGCUAACUCCGUGCCAGCCGCCGCUGUAA